rnacentral:rRNA from 1 species
UACGAAGGGGGCUAGCGUUGUUCGGAUUUACUGGGCGUAAAGCGCACGUAGGCGGUUUGUUAAGUCAGGGGUGAAAUCCCACAGCUCAACUGUGGAACUGCCUUUGAUACUGGCAAGCUAGAGUCCGGAAGAGGUAAGUGGAACUCCUAGUGUAGAGGUGGAAUUCGUAGAUAUUAGGAAGAACACCAGUGGCGAAGGCGGCUUACUGGGCUGUAACUGACGCUGAUGCACGAAAGCGUGGGGGAGCAAACAGG